rnacentral:rRNA from 1 species
GUGGGGAAUAUUGGACAAUGGGGGGAACCCUGAUCCAGCCAUGCCGCGUGUGUGAAGAAGGCCUUUUGGUUGUAAAGCACUUUAAGCGAGGAGGAGGCUACCGAGAUUAAUACUCUUGGAUAGUGGACGUUACUCGCAGAAUAAGCACCGGCUAACUCUGUGCCAGCAGCCGCGGUAAUACAGAGGGUGCAAGCGUUAAUCGGAUUUACUGGGCGUAAAGCGCGCGUAGGUGGCCAAUUAAGUCAAAUGUGAAAUCCCCGAGCUUAACUUGGGAAUUGCAUUCGAUACUGGUUGGCUAGAGUAUGGGAGAGGAUGGUAGAAUUCCAGGUGUAGCGGUGAAAUGCGUAGAGAUCUGGAGGAAUACCGAUGGCAGGCAGCCAUCUGGCCUAAUACUGACACUGAGGUGCGAAAGCAUGGGGAGCAAACAGGAUUAGAUACCCCUGUAGUCC